ensembl:lncRNA LINC00511 long intergenic non-protein coding RNA 511
AGCCUGUGUGUGUCCUGUGGGGCGAGAGGGGGAGUGCUCUGCUCACCACCCUGCACCCGCUGCCCGGCUCUGCUUCCCACUCUUGGCUGGUGCCCCGUGGGCCUUUCAGGCGAUCUGGGCGGAAGUAGGUCAGGGACCUUCCAGCUGUGGGAUCCCCAGUGGGGUGGAAUCAGAGGUUUCUGGCUGACUCGGUGGGUGCUUUGAACCAGGAAAGGACAAGAAAGAGGAUGGGAAGGACUGAUCCACAUUCCCACCAGGAAGUUUAGCAGAACCCCCGCGUGCCACCUGGACCCCUUGGAAGGACCUGGCUCAGGCUGGACCACCUCUUGAGAGGCAGGAGCUCUGGAUUUGAUCAAGAAUUCUUUGCUGAGCAUGGUGCCUCAUGCCUAUAAUCCCAACACUUUGGGAGGCCAGUGUGGGAGGAUCUCUUGAGCCCAGGAGUUCAAGACUAGCCUGGGCAACACAGAGAGACCCCAUCUCUAAAAUAAUAAUAAUAAUAAAAUAAAAAAUUAGCAGGGCAUGGUGGCAUGUGCCUGUAGUCCCAGCUACCCAGGAGGCUGAGGCAAGAGGAUGGCUGGAGCCUGGGAUGUUGAGGCUGCAAUGAACUGUGAUUACCCCACUGCACUCCAGCCUGGGCAAAAGAGCGAGAGACCCUGUCUCAAAUAAUAAUAAUAAUAAUAAUCUUAUUUUGGAGAAUAAAGAGACCUCUGGAUUUGAGGUGCCAUUUGGGUAGAAAGAAAAGACGUUUACACCGAGAAAUAGUCUGUGUUGCCCUGAAGGAGCAGAGGGAUGCAUCGCUGGAGGUGACCUACAGUUGAAGAAGACUCAUUAUGACAGACCUUGUCCUUCUUCCUUGUGGAAAGUGUUUCCUCUGCUGCUACUGCUCAUGAGACUCUUCCCCCUCCCUGUCCCAGGGAACCAAAGGGCUUUCUACCACACCCUUUCUUGCCCCCCGCCUCCCAUGUCUGCUGUGCCUUUGUACUCAGCAAUUCUUGUUUGCUCCAUUAUCUUCCAGCCGGAUACAGAGUGAAUAGUUAACCACACUUAGGUCAAAUAGGAUCUAAAUUUUUGUUCCUGCUCCGUGUAAAGAGGCCAGUGUUUGUGUGUUGCAAGCAGCCUUGGAAUAGUAACUCUUCUCAUUUGUUUGGGAUCUGGCCACCAAGUUCCAGAAUGAUACACGGAUCAGUGCAGAAGUUCAUCAGGCUCUCGGACCUUAGGGCUGUUGGAGAAGGCUUCAGCAGCAGAACUGAUGGUGAAGGCUCGUGUUCUCCAUCCUCAACUUUCUUUGCUUCGAUCAUACACAAGAAUACAUUUGGAAGGGCAAAAAAUGAACACUGUCGUUCAUUGCAGCCGUGUUUUGUGACACAGAUGCACAGUCUGCUGUGAAGACCUUCUCUCAAGUGGCAUUUGGGAGUCCAUGCCAGAUCAUGGUGCUUCAUGAGAGACUGACAGCUAUCAGGGGUUGUGGCACUUAGUGAGGACUCUCCUCCCCCAGUGUGUGCUGAUGACACAUACACACCUGACAAUAGCUUGAGUCUUCUCUGUUCCUUUUACUCUGUAGCCAACAUACACAUGAUUUAAAACCCUUUCUAAAUAUCUAUCAUGGUUCAUCCUUGUCCAAAUGCAGAGUCAGAGCUAUUUGUACUUCAUUAUUAUUUCCAAGGCGAAUAGUUGGCUUUCUUUUUGCAAAAAUAAUUAAAGUUUUUGUAUGUU